GAUGAGAACCUGAGGCAGAGUUAACUGACUCGCCCAGGGACACCCGGCUGGCGAGAAUCUGAUGUCGGGAUUUGAACUCGUCUUCCUGGCUUCAGAACCAACGCCACUGCACCACCUAGCUGCUCAAUUCUGGGCUAACCGAAUCGCUCGGGACUGGGGUAUUCAACAUGUCCCUCCCUGCUCCGCAUAAUCUGCUCUUUGGAUCAGCAUGCCUCACCCUUCCCCCUGCUCUCCCCCCACGCCUUCAUUUUAGAGGCAGAGAUAAAAAGGUACUAACAGAGUCGAGGGAACAGACUGGCAAACCAGGAGAUGAAGGGUUACAUUCAGAAAAGGGAGAGUUGCCACCCUCUAACUGCUGACUGGCUCGUUGGUACCAGAUGGAAGGUAAAACACCCCAAAGGGCUGGGCUUGGAGCAGUUCACUUUAAAUUAAGGAACAUGCCAAGGAAGUUGUGCCUAUUUAGACCGACUGAUCAUAAUUCAUAAUUAUCAGCAUAGCUCAGUGCUAUGGGGCACUUUAAGCUCAGGAAGGGAAGACUACACAAAGAAAUUGGGAGCAAGAAUCUCAGGGAGAUCUUGCCAUUUAACUGUUUGUGUGCCUCAGAUUAACAUUCCCCAAAUAACCGAAAAGGGACACUGCAAGUGGAUGUAAUUUGGAACAAAACCUGCUGAGUCGGGAAGCGACUGCACCCCUUUACUCCCCCAUGAUAGCCCCCUAGGCAGAGAAGGCUGAGAGACUAAGGGGGAGGGAUGUGCCUUGGAUCCAGUUCCCAGCAUGACUUUCACCUUUACCAGCUGCCAGGGGGUACACUCUGCAUCAACCCCAGGGCACAGCAAAAGCAUUCACCAGGGCCAUUUUUGCUAGUUGGUGGAUUGAGUGCCUCAUCCUUUCCCUAAGGGAAGGGGAGGGCUUUUCUCUGGGGAUAGCUCACACUUCCUCAGCCACCUAGCCACAGCAGAAACAACCAUUCUUGCCAUGUGCCAGGUAACCCCCAGAGAAUUCCCGUUUUAUGCCAAGGAAGUGGGCCCAGGAGCACAGGGUAAAACGAACUUUCCACCAAAUGAGUCACUGUAUGGAGGCACAUUGGAAUGAGACUCAAAUAAAAUGGCUUUUAGGUGGCCAAGACCUAUACGGCUAAGUGGAGGUGGUGGGAAUUUAGGCUCUUAAUGAACACUAUUAUAUGGCUCAUCCUCUUCUUUAGGUAGGACUACCGGGUCCAGAUAUCAAAGCUUCACAGAUUUAGAAGCAGAAGGAACCCACGGAAGUCAGCGAGCCCAACCCUUUCGUUUUCUAGCUGAGGGGGCUUGGGAGGGGAAUUGGGUGCUCCCAGAAGGGGCUCUGAGUCUUGUGCUGGUGGGGACUCCCAGUGGCUCUCCACUUCCGAGACCAGGAUUAGAGAGGGAGGGACAAAUUCGUACUUCUGCUGCAGUGAGCCCGACUUUUCGGGAGCCCUGCGUUGGGCUGCAAGGACGGGAGUGGCCAGAAGAUGGGGGCCUUGCACUGCGGUCUCGCACACUGGUCCCGUCUGGGUGGGGUCGGGCUGAUUGGCUGGCCCGAGAUGAAGGCUUCCUGGUGGAAUCCAGGCUGUUCAGAACUGACCCUCGUCGUAACCUGGGACCUGAGAAGGGGGCAAGAGUUUAGGGGUGGAGAGCACAUACCCAGACUGAGUCCCCCUCAACUUCCUUUCUACCUACCUUUUUCCCUUCCCUUUUUCUCUCUUGUCCUAUAAUCUCUGUCCUCUUCCCAGUUUCUUUCUUGCCCUUUCUCUUCUUUUCAAAUUUCUCUCCCCUCUCACCUGGUGGUCUGGGAAUUAGAAAAAACUGAGAUUUUAUUUCUGUCAAAAAAAAAAAAAAAAAAAAAAA